CGUCCCCGGAGCUUGGAGGGAGUCAUGAGCUGCGGGGGGUACGGUGGGCCCGGAGUUCCGCUCCCUCCGAAGGCCUGGCCGUCCAGAAAAGAAAUAUAAGGAGCACAUCCAACCUGUGAUUUCACACACAGAUGAGGCUACUGUUUAAAAGAGGGAGGCGAUCUAUCGGCGAGCGAUAUUAGAGCCCAGAUGCAAGGCCCAGAGACAUGAAGCCGCCUGCCCCAGGUCACACAGCUGGGACGACAAGAGCCAGGAUUCAAACCGAGGUUGCCUAGCAACCAAGCCUGCGCUCUCUGCCCAAUCUGAUGGAACCGUGGUCACAUAGGGAAGGAGAAGAGAACAUUUCCAGCAUCCCUUGUCUCCCCCGUAACCACCACCCUCCCAGCCUCCCCCUCCC